rnacentral:lncRNA from 1 species
CAAAAAUCUCAUUUUAAUAACCCUAUACAUGUAGGGAGUGAAAGUGCUAUGAAUGGCAGAAAUAAAAUUGUAAAUAUGAUGGAGCUCAUGUUACAGGAAAUGAGAACGGGUCAGUGGUAAAUAUGUCUGAAUGUUUAGAAAAAAAAUGUUUAGUUUAUUGAUAUAUUGCUUACCGGUAUAUGUUUACCGCCAUAUGUACUUUUCAUAUGUUCUGAUUACAAACUGAUUGUUUAUGUCAGUGGUAAAUAUGUAUGAAUGAUUAGAAGAAAAAUGUA